CUUUACUGCAGCUUGGCAGUGAACUUCGGAUUGUUCUGCGUAGGAUAGGUGGGAGGCUUUGAAGUCGGGUUCCCGGAUUCGGCAGAGCCAACGUUGAAAUACCACCCUGGACAAUCUGGGGUUCUAACUCAGGUCCGUAACCCGGACCGAGGACACUGCCUGGUGGGCAGUUUGACUGGGGCGGUCGCCUCCAAAAACGUAACGGAGGCGUGCGAAGGUUCCCUCAGGCUGAUUGGAAACCAGCCGUAGAGUGCAAACGCAUAAGGGAGCUUAACUGUGAGACUGACAAGUCGAGCAGGUGCGAAAGCAGGUGUUAGUGAUCCGGUGGUUCCACAUGGAAGGGCCAUCGCUUAUCGGAUAAAAGGUA
rnacentral:rRNA from 1 species